rnacentral:rRNA from 1 species
GACGUAGGGUGCAAGCGUUGUCCGGAUUUAUUGGGCGUAAAGAGCUCGUAGGCGGCUUGUUGCGUCGACUGUGAAAACCCGCGGCUUAACUGCGGGCUUGCAGUCGAUACGGGCAGACUUGAGGUAUGCAGGGGAGAAUGGAAUUCCUGGUGUAGCGGUGAAAUGCGCAGAUAUCAGGAGGAACACCGGUGGCGAAGGCGGUUCUCUGGGCAUUACCUGACGCUGAGGAGCGAAAGUGUGGGGAGCGAACAGG